AUACGUAGGGAGCGAGCGUUGUCCGGAAUUACUGGGUGUAAAGGGAGCGUAGGCGGGAUCGCAAGUCAGAUGUGAAAUACAUGGGCUUAACCCAUGGGCUGCAUUUGAAACUGUGGUUCUUGAGUGAAGUAGAGGUAAGCGGAAUUCCUGGUGUAGCGGUGAAAUGCGUAGAUAUCAGGAGGAACACCGGUGGCGAAGGCGGCUUACUGGGCUUUUACUGACGCUGAGGCUCGAAAGCGUGGGGAGCAAACAGGAUUAGAUACCCUAGUAGUCCACGCUGUAAACGAUGAUUACUAGGUGUGGGGGGACUGACCCCUUCCGUGCCGCAGUUAACACAAUAAGUAAUCCACCUGGGGAGUACGGCCGCAAGGUUGAAACUCAAAUGAAUUGACGGGG
rnacentral:rRNA from 1 species